UACGUAGGGUGCAAGCGUUGUCUGGAAUUAUUGGGCGUAAGGAGCUCGUAGGCGGUCUGUCGCGUCUGCUGUGAAAACUCGGGGCUUAACCCCGGGCCUGCAGUGGGUACGGGCAGACUAGAGUGCGGUAGGGGAGACUGGAAUUCCUGGUGUAGCGGUGAAAUGCGCAGAUAUCAGGAGGAACACCAAUGGCGAAGGCAGAUCUCUGGGCCGUAACUGACGCUGAGGAGCGAAAGCAUGGGAGCGAACAGG
rnacentral:rRNA from 1 species